rnacentral:rRNA from 1 species
CAGCCGCCGCGGUAAUACGUAGGUGGCAAGCGUUGUCCGGAAUUAUUGGGCGUAAAGCGCGCGCAGGUGGUUUAAUAAGUCUGAUGUGAAAGCCCACGGCUCAACCGUGGAGGGUCAUUGGAAACUGGAAAACUUGAGUGCAGAAGAGGAAAGUGGAAUUCCAUGUGUAGCGGUGAAAUGCGCAGAGAUAUGGAGGAACACCAGUGGCGAAGGCGACUUUCUGGUCUGUAACUGACGCUGAUGUGCGAAAGCGUGGGGAUCAAACAGGAUUAGAUACCCGAGUAGUCCCUGUCUCUUAUAC